UACGUAGGCACCAAGCGUUGUCCGGAUUUAUUGGGCGUAAAGAGCUCGUAGGCGGUUCGGUAAGUCGGGUGUGAAAACUCUGGGCUCAACCCAGAGCCGCCACCCGAUACUGCUGUGACUCGAGUGCGGUAGGGGAGCGGGGAAUUCCUGGUGUAGCGGUGAAAUGCGCAGAUAUCAGGAGGAACACCGAUGGCGAAGGCAGGUCUCUGGGCCACCACUGACGCUGAGAAGCGAAAGCAUGGGGAGCGAACAGG
rnacentral:rRNA from 1 species